rnacentral:rRNA from 1 species
UAGUCAUAUGCUUGUCUCAAAGAUUAAGCCAUGCAUGUCUAAGUAUAAGCAAUUAUACCGUGAAACUGCGAAUGGCUCAUUAAAUCAGUUAUCGUUUAUUUGACAGUACCUUACUACUUGGAUAACCGUGGUAAUUCUAGAGCUAAUACAUGCUGAAAACCCCACCUUCGGAAGGGGUGUAUUUAUUAGAUAAAAAACCAACGCCCUUCGGGGCUUCUUGGUGAUUCAUGAUAACUUUACGGAUCGCAUGGCCUUGCGCCGGCGACGGUUCAUUCAAAUUUCUGCCCUAUCAACUUUCGAUGGUAAGGUAUUGGCUUACCACGGUUUCAACGGGUAACGGGGAAUUAGGGUUCGAUUCCGGAGAGGGAGCCUGAGAAACGGCUACCACAUCCAAGGAAGGCAGCAGGCGCGCAAAUUACCCAAUCCCGACACGGGGAGGUAGUGACAAUAAAUACUGAUACAGGGCUCUUUUGGGUCUUGUAAUUGGAAUGAGUACAAUUUAAACCUCUUAACGAGGAACAAUU